UAUGCAAACACUCGCUGUAAAACUAGAAAGAAUUUGACAUUUUCUGCUUUAACAAAUAACUAUAGCUGGAAGAAAGAUGUUGUAAUAACCAACAAAUCAAUAUAUGAAAUUUGUAUAGGUAAUGGUAUAGUUUCUCAUUAAAAACAUAUACUAAGUGUGUUGGGGCAGUCUUUUAGGUGUGUGGAGGGGUUCUCGGGGUGUUAUUAUUAAGAACGGUAUACUGUAUCAAAACGUUUACCACCAAUGAUAGAAAAUUCUGAUGUAGAGGAUGAAAACGAAAAACGGCGAGAAGUAUUGGAGGACGGAGGAACAGCUGAGAGUGAGGACUGACGACCAAUGACAGGCAAACCCAAACAACCUUCCCGCACUGGCAAGUAUUUAGAACUGUUCACCCAUUGGAUCUCCCUGCCUCCUGGGAACAUGUGUGAGGAACGCUGCUGUGAGCGAGGACGUAGUGAGUGACUGCUGGCUUACCUGGUGGAGGCUGCAGGAGGCGGAGGGCGAGGCAAGCAGCUGAGGGUACCAGUGACUGAGGGCGAAGUAGAGGCCGCGGUUAUCUGAGAUGUCUCGUUCAAACAGUGGCGCAGUGUGUGCUGUCAUUGGCCAAAAGUGACUGACGUGUAACGUAUGCUUGCUUUCGUCCUCUUCACCUCCAUACCUGGCUCCCCGCCCCUCUGCCUCAUCCACAUGCUUCUCAUGCCUCCUUUAUCCCCUUGCAGGAAGGAGCAUACAAGUGUGUGUCACCAGGUACCACUGCCAGAAGAGAGGUAGAAGGUGCAGUCAAUGAGUUCACCAGGGAUCAGGAAUGUCACUGCUGCUGCCACAUUCAGAAAUAUUUUGAGGAAAGAGCUGAGAAGGGUGCCAGUGUUGGGACUACAGAGACAGAUGAGGCAAGAAAGGACAAAGAGGAAAAGAGAAUGAACUCAAAGGAAAGGCACAACUAGCUUAACUCCUGAAAUGAGAACUUAUCCCAUCAAUAUGAAGGUUGUGUACCAUGUGGAGGUGGAGGAGGCAGCAGAGGCUGAGCAGGAAGAGGAGGAAGUGGGUAUUGAGGCAGCAGGUGAUGGUAAAAAUGGAGGAGCCUUCUACUCUGCUGCAUGUAGAAACACCACUCACUAAGCUCCUCCUGCCACUGCUGUCUGGUAUGUCUAGUCCUCCAUGAUAAGGCAAAAACAUCCAUUAGAAAAAAGGAAAAUUGAGAUAACAAUGUUGAAGGAGUCAUGAGAAAAUAUAAAAAGAAAAAAGACAAGAUAAGGCUAAAUACAACUAUUAUAUGGUAAAAUUGGAGCUUUUAAACAAAAAAAAAUAACAUAAUGAUAAUGAUACAUAUAAUAUUUUGUUAGUUUAACCUUUCAAUCUAAUCAGUACUUUUGUGUACCUACUAAAUGCAGUUUCUAUGUGCUCUAGCACAUAGAAGAGGUUAAUUCAUAUCAAGAAUUAACCUCUUCCAACUCUAACCCGCACCUUCCAUACACACACACACACACACACACACACACACACACACACACACACACACACACACACACACACACACACACACACACACAAAAAAAAAAAAAAGCUAAAAUGUAAAUCAGAAGAGCAGUAGCCUCAGGUGUUAUGGCACAGGUGCCUCAGCAGGGCAAGAAGGAAAUGUGUAGGCAUCUGCAGUCAUACUAAGAGGAUAGAGAAUGGAGAGUUUUGUGUAGCUGGAGUUCUUGUUUUUUCUUCCAAGACAAAAGGUGAGUCUCUAGUUUUGCAAAUGAUGUGUCAGAAAAAGCAAUGAGGUUAGUCUCAACAAAUGAUGUCUUGAGAGGCCUAUGGUCCUGGUUUAGCAAAGAUGCCAACAAAAAAGAUACUCACAGCUGAAGCCACCAUGACUGACAAGAUGUGAACUUCUUUUUUUGUAGUGAGUAGGCAACUGAUGACAUCACGCUUCUCUCGCCUCACCGUACAUCAAGAAAAUGACUUACUAGAUAAUGCAAAUCUUUAAAAAAAGUGAUGAAGAGGAAGUAAAAGGAAAAAUCUUUAAGGCAAUAAAAACAAUUAAGUUUUGUUAAGAAAAUUAUUUUGGUUAAAUUUAGGUAAGAAUGGAAAUAAUUUAUAUAUAUAUAAAAAAAAAAAAAAAAAGCCAGAGAAAAAAUGGUACAUUGUGAAAGAGGACUCCACUCCCCUCCCCCUAACCCCAUGGAAAGAAAUGUGAGCGGAUAGUGGUAAGUACAAAAUAUAGUAGUUAAAGUAAUAUGUAGUAGAUUUUUUGGAUUGGGCUACACUGUGGUGAAAUCUGCUACUUUUCAAGCUUGCUUCUGCUACUUUUCAUUAGGAAAAUCUGACAACACUGCCUGUGUGUUGCUUCCUCUGCAUUUCUCUUGCCCCAGGCGUUGUCCAUGUAGGCCACGCUCCGCCGUUCCACCUCCUGCCUCCACGCCGCUUACAACAUUCCGUGCAAAGCCACCUCCAGCCCUAGCCCUAAGAAGCACAAUUUCCUGCCUUUCAAGAUAAGCAUGAGCUUAUAAGAAAGUGUGAGGCAGGUAUAGCUCACAGUGUGGUUGCAGCACAAAUGGGUGUCCCUAGAUCAACAAUAUCAUCAAUUUAGAAGAAAAGGGACAAGUACCACAAGACCGCUGCAAGUGUUUAUAUUUCCAAAAAUGUACUGUACAGCACCCUAAUGUGUUUAAUAAAAAAAUGUUCAAUA